rnacentral:lncRNA from 1 species
CAUGAGCCCCAUGUACAGCUCGAGCCCAAAGUGUGAGGCAAGACUUGGGAGGAGGGACGACCAGCAGCAGUUUCUGGGACCCCUGAUGCUCUUUAGGCCGAGGGGCCUGCACUGGAAUGGAGUCCACUGAAGGGGUGGUUGUUUUUCACCUCAGGGGGAUCAGAGUGUGCAACCCUGGGAACCUCCAUAUGCCACGGGAGCAGCCCUAGAAAAAAGGCAAAAAGACCAAAAAAAAAAAAAAAAAAAAAAAAAAAAAAAAAGAAAAGAAAAAGAAAAAAAAAAAAAAAGCAAUGUCUUUGAGCCUUUCUGCAGACCUAAAACCCCCAACAAAAAGGAAGAACUACUUGAUGAAGCCUUCUUCAGUUCCUGGAAGGAGGAGGACCACCAGAACCAGUCCUAAGGGCCACUAAACACCAGCUUUGAGAAACAAUGCAAGCUUGCUUCUACCAUGAUCCUUAUCUUUGGCCCUAUUCUCCCCAAAUUAUAAAACCAUCUUCUAAUCCUUUCCUAGGAGGGGCACAGUCUUUAAGGCAUUAGCUUGGUUUGGCUCCCUUGCCUGGCAAAGCACUAAAGCUAUCUUUUUCUCCUUCAUCCAAAACUGUCUCCACAUUUCUAUUCAGCAACUCUGGACAGGGGCUGUUUCAGCAACAUCCAUGAGGAUUUGGCUUCUAUCCCUGGCCUCACUCGGUGUAUUAAGGAUCUGGUGUUGCUGGUAGGUGCAGCAUAGGUCUCAGAUGUGGCUCGGAUCUGGCGUUGCUGUGGCUGUGGUGUAGGCUGGCAUCUGGAGCUCCAAUUCAACCUGUAGCCUGGGAACUUCCAGAUGCCUCGGCUGCAGCCCCAAAGAAAAAAAAUAAAAACCUUGUAGGACAGUUUCUGUUAUUUGCAUUUUUUUUUUCCAUGAGCAAGCUAAGUACCUGAAAAUUUGAGAAGUCAAGAAGAGAUUUCCACCCAGAGCCUGCCAGUUGGGUUUACUGAUGGAAGAACUUUUUCCUUAUAGAAGGUUAACAGUAAGUGGGCAUAUGUGAAACAAGUGUCCACUGAAAUAAAAACACAUAACAUGAGAGCUUUGUUUAUUUUUUUUAUUUAUUUUUAUUUUAUUCUCUUUUUAGGGCUGCACCUGCAACCGGCAACACAGCUCACAAGUGAGGCAGAAUAAUCACUCAGGUAGUCAGUGUAGGAGCAUGGGCUUCAGCGCAUUCUUUGAUAUGGCUAUUGAUUAACAUUUGUGGCUUCAGGGCUCCAGAGAGUAACAUCCCCACAGGCCUUGUUUACUAUAGGGAGUGUACCUACACCCAGAUGGACAUUAAUCCCUAACCCGCUGUGAUUCAAUCUCUGAGAGGAGAAGGGAAAUGAAACCAUGAGACUUAAGGGGCAUUUCCACCCUAAGACCCCUAUUGGACAAGGACUGAACUGGGCAAGGCCAAUAGGAAAAAAACCCACAUCUUUCUGGACCCCACGUUGGUAACCCCCAUCUUUAAGGUAUAAAAACCCCUAUAGGACAAUAGAAGCUGGGACUCUUCUUCCCCCUCCCAGCUGUCCUGGGAGCUGUUUGCUUUCCUGCAAUAAAGGCUUUGCUUGCUUGC